UACGAAGGGGGCUAGCGUUGCUCGGAAUCACUGGGCGUAAAGCGCACGUAGGCGGACUCUUAAGUCGGUGGUGAAAUCCUGGAGCUCAACUCCAGAACUGCCUUCGAUACUGGGAGUCUCGAGUCCGAGAGAGGUGAGUGGAACUGCGAGUGUAGAGGUGAAAUUCGUAGAUAUUCGCAAGAACACCAGUGGCGAAGGCGGCUCACUGGCCCGAUACUGACGCUGAGGUGCGAAAGCGUGGGGAGCAAACAGG
rnacentral:rRNA from 1 species